rnacentral:rRNA from 1 species
AGAGUGAACGCUGGCGGCAUGCCUAACACAUGCAAGUCGAACGGUAACAGGCCCGCAAGGGUGCUGACGAGUGGCGGACGGGUGAGGAAUACAUCGGAAUCUGCCCGGUUGUGGGGGAUAACGUAGGGAAACUUACGCUAAUACCGCAUACGACCUACGGGUGAAAGCGGGGGACCUUCGGGCCUCGCGCAGUCGGAUGAGCCGAUGUCGGAUUAGCUAGUUGGCGGGUAAAGGCCCACCAAGGCGACGAUCCGUAGCUGGUCUGAGAGGAUGAUCAGCCACACUGGGACUGAGACACGGCCCAGACUCCUACGGAGGCAGCAGUGGGGAAUAUUGGACAAUGGGGGCAACCCUGAUCCAGCAAUGCCGCGUGUGUGAAGAAGGCCUUCGGGUUGUAAGCACUUUAUCCGGAACGAACGCGUGGGGUGAAUAGCCUUACGAACUGACGGUACCGGAGGAAUAAGCACCGGCUAACUUCGUGCCAGCAGCCGC